rnacentral:rRNA from 1 species
UAGGGAGGGUGCAAACGUUGUUCGGAAUCACUGAUGGUAAAGCGCGAGCAAACGCCCUGUCAAGACAGGUGUGAAAUCACUUGGCUCAAACAAGGAACUGCAUCUGAAACUAUUGCUCUUGAUCACGGGAUAGGAUAGUGUAAUUCCCGGUGUAGAGGUGAAAUUCCUACAUAUCGGAAAGAACACCGAUGGAGAAGGCGUCUCUCUGAACUUAUACUGACUUUGACACGCAAAAUGGUGAGAAGGAAACAGGAUUAAAUACCCUGGUAGUCCACGAUGUAAACGAUGGGCACUAGGUGUGGAGGGUAUUGACCCCCUCUGUGCCGUAGCUAACGCAUUAACUGCCCCGCCUGGGAAGUACGCCCGCAAGGCUAAACCUCAAAGGAAUUGACGGGGGCCCGCACAAGCGGUGGAGCAUGUGGUUCAAUUCGACGCAACGCGCAGAACCUUACCUGGGUUUGACAUCCCCUGACCGCCAUGGAAACAUGGUCUUCCCUUCGGGGACACGGAGACAGGUGCUGCAUGGCUGUCGUCAGCUCGUGUCGUGAGAUGUUGGGUUAAGUCCCGCAGCGAGCGCAACGCCUGCCUCUAGCUGGUAACAGUUUGGCUGAGCACUCUAGAGGAACUGCCCGUCAUAAUCCGGAGGAAGGCGGGGACGACGUCAAGUCCUCAUGGCCUUUAUGCCCAGGGCUACACUCGUGCUACAAUGCCCGGUACAAAGGGUUGCAAAUCCCCGAGGAGGAGCUCAUCCCAAAAAGCCGGUUUCAGUUCGGACUGGAGUAUGCAACUCGACUCCAUGAAGGCGGAAUCGAUAGUAAUCGUGGAUCGUCAUUCUGCGGUGAAUUCGUUCCCGU